UGGGGAAUAUUGCACAAUGGGCGAAAGCCUGAUGCAGCGACGCCGCGUGAAGGAAGAAGGUUUUCGGAUCGUAAACUUCUAUCAGCAGGGACGAAAAUGACGGUACCUGACUAAGAAGCCCCGGCUAACUACGUGCCAGCAGCCGCGGUAAUACGUAGGGGGCAAGCGUUAUCCGGAAUUACUGGGUGUAAAGGGUGCGUAGGCGGCUAUACAAGUCAGAUGUGAAAGCCCGGAGCUCAACUCCGGGACUGCAUUUGAAACUGUAUGGCUAGAGUGCAGGAGAGGAAAGCGGAAUUCCUAGUGUAGCAGUGAAAUGCGUAGAUAUUAGGAGGAACACCAGUGGCGAAGGCGGCUUUCUGGACUGUAACUGACGCUGAGGCACGAAAGCGUGGGGAGCAAA
rnacentral:rRNA from 1 species